UUCAGUUGAAUGAAAUGGAUGAGUUUCGAUUGGAAGCCUAUGAGAAUGCAAAACUCUACAAGGAGCGCACAAAAAAAUGGCAUGACAUGCACAUUCAAAGAAGGAAGUUUGAAGUUGGGCAACAAGUUUUGCUGUACAAUUCUAGACUCAAACUUUUUCCUUGUAAAUUGAGGUCUAGGUGGUCAGGGCCAUACACCAUAGUCAAGGUGUUUCCUUAUGGAACAGUUGAAAUAAUGCAUGAAAGUAAAGGGACCUUUAAGGUUAAUGGACAACGGUUGAAGCCAUAUUGGAACGGUGAAUUUUCGAAAGAAAAAUCAACCGUUCAACUUGCAACACCAGAAUGAAUGAACAAAAAGUCGAGCUCUAGACUAUAAAUCGAGCGCUUAAUGGGAGGCAACCCAUUCUUCUAUCUCCUUUUGCUAUUUUAAUUAACUAUUGCAUUACAUGUAGUUUUAGGGACUGCAUUAAUUUAGGAACUCAUGCAUUUAAAUGGGUAGUGUUGGACACAUUUUAAGUGAUACUUUCAGACCUGGACCAGUAACUUAGGCAUAUUUAUUUAUUAAGUUCAUUUUAUUUUGACAUGGUUAUCUAGGUUCAUCGUUAACAUCUUAGCAUUCUAUUGAGCUUACAUUGAUGUGAUAUGCAUCUUUAAGAGAAUUAAAGCCUCACAACAAAGAAAAGCUACAGCUGUCAUGAUACCUACCAAUUGGAGCAGCCUGAUUAUUCAUCGCAUCCACAUUUACCCCGGGGAGUUUUUGAUCCUUACCCCUUACUUUGUUUAGUUUUGCUUAUACAUUGGGGACAAUGUAGUAUUUUAGUUUGGGGAUGGGUGAGUAUUAGGAUACCUAGAAUACAUAUUUUUCAACUGCUAAUCGAGUCCGUAUAACUG